GAUGAACGCUGGCGGCGUGCUUAACACAUGCAAGUCGAACGAUGAAGCCCAGCUUGCUGGGUGGAUUAGUGGCGAACGGGUGAGUAACACGUGAGUAACCUGCCCUUAACUCUGGGAUAAGCCUGGGAAACUGGGUCUAAUACCGGAUAGGAGCGUCCACCGCAUGGUGGGUGUUGGAAAGAUUUAUCGGUUUUGGAUGGACUCGCGGCCUAUCAGCUUGUUGGUGUGGUAAUGGCUCACCAAGGCGACGACGGGUAGCCGGCCUGAGAGGGUGACCGGCCACACUGGGACUGAGACACGGCCCAGACUCCUACGGGAGGCAGCAGUGGGGAAUAUUGCACAAUGGGCGCAAGCCUGAUGCAGCGACGCCGCGUGAGGGAUGACGGCCUUCGGGUUGUAAACCUCUUUCAGUAGGGAAGAAGCGAAAGUGACGGUACCUGCAGAAGAAGCACCGGCUAACUACGUG
rnacentral:rRNA from 1 species